CAGUCGCCGCGGUAAUACGGAGGGUGCAAGCGUUAAUCGGAAUUACUGGGCGUAAAGCGUGCGCAGGCGGUUCGUUAAGACAGAUGUGAAAUCCCCGGGCUUAACCUGGGAACUGCAUUUGUGACUGGCGAGCUAGAGUAUGGCAGAGGGGGGUAGAAUUCCACGUGUAGCAGUGAAAUGCGUAGAGAUGUGGAGGAAUACCGAUGGCGAAGGCAGCCCCCUGGGCCAAUACUGACGCUCAUGCACGAAAGCGUGGGGAGCAAACAGGAUUAGAGACCCGUGUAGUCCCUGUCUCUUAUAC
rnacentral:rRNA from 1 species